rnacentral:rRNA from 1 species
ACGCUCGACACCUACGGGGGGCAGCAGUGGGGAAUAUUGCACAAUGGGGGAAACCCUGAUGCAGCGACGCCGCGUGAAGGAAGAAGUAUCUCGGUAUGUAAACUUCUAUCAGCAGGGAAGAAAAUGACGGUACCUGACUAAGAAGCCCCGGCUAACUACGUACCAGCAGCCGCGGUAAUCUGAGCGGGCUGGCAAGGC